GGCAGUGUGGUGUAGUGGUUUGAACAUUGGAUUAUGACUCUGGAGAUCAGGGUUCAAUUCCCCAUCUACCU